UUUGCGCCGGUGCCCAGCUCCCUCUCGCUCUCUCUCUCGCACGAACGAAGGUAAAAGAAAGAGGAGACACAGGACACGGUGGUGUUUUUCCGGCGCAUAUACGCCUGCCGCACGAACGGCUUCUUCCUCGAGCACGAACUCGAACCCACACCCACAUACGAGCAGUACAACGGAGGGCCUUUUAUACCCAGGUGCACACACCAUCCGGCCACCACACCGGCCACUAACUCCACGCACGCACACACGCCGGCCACUAACCAGCUAACCCAUGCACACGCAUGCACUAACUAACCUUGACUCUACCUUAUCUGGACUAACCAGAUCACAACGGAACUAGCAAACCAUGCACGCGAGUGACUCGGUCUCCAGUGAAUGUGAGCCGCUGCUCACGCGAGACCUGGGCCUCCACACCUCGCUCUGCAGCACACACAACCCGGCUAACUGACCAAGGCUAUGGACGCGGCCACGCACCGGCGUCUGUACUCGACCUACACGCACACACAUGUUGGUCACCACCGUGGCGUGGCUUAUUUCUAACAUUCUCCCCUAAGCCACGACCUCGCCGUCGCUGGAGUUGUUGCAGCUCCUCUUAUUAUUGUCGUCACGGCCGUGACACAGCCCGCGGACCCGACCCGGCGCAUCGACGACGGUCGCACCGCCACAGACCCAACCUGGCGCACUGACGCUGGUCGCACCGUGCUCCGUCACGACCCCGGCGACAUACGCCGAGCUCCUUCUCCGCCGGCGACACACGUCUGGCGUCCCUCUGCGCCCCGCACGUCCCGCGCGCACCCGACGAGCCCAACCGCACCAGACGCUCACCGCGCUCCGCCUCCGCGUCCGCCAUGGCAGCCGCCAGCGACAAACGCCGGAAGGAUGUAGCCGAACUCGAGCACAGACUCGAGCACAACGGCGACAUACGCCUCCUCCCAACGUCAACCGCACGCUCGUACGCGCGCUCGCGGUCCCGACGCGCCCGACGCGUCCAGUGCGCACCCAUAACACGCACCGGUCGCUCCCGGCUCGCCGCCACGGCUUAUUGCCCUGCACCGCUGCGGCCUCAACCGCAGCGCAGCACCUCCAUGCCUCCAUGCCGCUAUGUGUCGUUGAAGCUGCCAUCACGCAGGUCCUCCGCGGCCUCCUCACCGUGCCGCCGCAGCCACCGCGGCCUCCUCGCCGCGCCGCGCACCUCCAUAGACCGACACACGGCCCGGAGCUUCACCGCGCAGCCGCCGGCGAACGCCACCACCGCCGGCACGCCUCCGCCAAGGGGACGACACCCAAGAUGAACCAGCUCAUGAUACCAAAUGUUGGCGCCGAGCCCUAGCUUGCUCUUUGCGCCGGUGCCCAGCUCCCUCUCGCGCGCGCUCUCUCUCUCUCUCUCGCACGAACGAAGGUAAAAGAAAGAGGAGACAUGGUGUUUUUCCGGCGCACAUACGCCUGCCGCACGAACGGCUUCUUCCUCGAGCACGAACUCGAACCCACACCCACAUACGAGCAGUACAACGGAGGGCCUUUUAUACCCAGGUGCACACACCAUCCGGCCACCACACCGGCCACUAACUCCACGCACGCACACACGCCGGCCACUAACCAGCUAACCCAUGCACACGCAUGCACUAACUAACCUUGACUCUACCUUAUCUGGACUAACCAGAUCACAACGGAACUAGCAAACCAUGCACGCGAGUGACUCGGUCUCCAGUGAAUGUGAGCCGCUGCUCACGCGAGACCUGGGCCUCCACACCUCGCUCUGCAACACACACAACCCGGCUAACUGACCACGGCUAUGGACGCGGCCACGCACCGGCGUCUGUACUCGACCUAUACGCACACACAUGUUGGUCACCACCGUGGCGUGGCUUAUUCCUAAC
rnacentral:lncRNA from 1 species